ACAAUGGAGGCAACUCUGAUCCAGCCAUGCCGCGUGAAGGAAUAAGGCCCUAUGGGUCGUAAACUUCUUUUCUGCGAGAGCAAUAAGGACUACGUGUAAUCCGAUGAGAGUAUUGCAGGAAUAAGCAUCGGCUAACUCCGUGCCAGCAGCCGCGGUAAUACGGAGGAUGCGAGCGUUAUCCGGAUUUAUUGGGUUUAAAGGGUGCGUAGGCUGCACUUCAAGCCAGCGGUGAAAUACCGGUGCUUAACGCCGGGGCUGCCGUUGGAACUGGGGAGCUGGAGUACGGAUGCCGCCGGAGGAAUGUGUGGUGUAGCGGUGAAAUGCAUAGAUAUCACACAGAACACCGAUUGCGAAGGCAUCUGGCGAAUCCGUCACUGACGCUGAAGCACGAAAGCGUGGGGAUCAAACAGGAUUAGAUACCCUGGUAGUCCACGCAGUAAACGAUGAUGGCUAGCUGUUGGGGAGCAAUUUUCAGUAGUCAAGCGAAAGCGAUAAGCCAUCCACCUGGGGAGUACGACCGCAAGGUUGAAACUCAAAGGAAUUGACGGGGGCCCGCACAAGCGGAGGAACAUGUGGUUUAAUUCGAUGAUACGCGAGGAACCUUACCCGGGCUCGAACGGUAGAUGGAUAUAGGAGAGAUUCUAUAGUCUUCGGACAUCUAUCGAGGUGCUGCAUGGUUGUCGUCAGCUCGUGCCGUGAGGUGUCGGCUUAAGUGCCAUAACGAGCGCAACCCUUGCCUUCAGUUGCCAGCGGGUCAAGCCGGGGACUCUGGAGGGACUGCCACCGCAAGGUGUGAGGAAGGGGGGGAUGACGUCAAAUCAGCACGGCCCUUACGUCCGGGGCGACACACGUGUUACAAUGGGUGAUACAGCGGGAAGCUACCUGGUGACAGGGAGCGGAUCCCGAAAAUCACUCUCAGUUCGGAUCGGAGUCUGCAACUCGACUCC
rnacentral:rRNA from 1 species